rnacentral:lncRNA from 1 species
GAGGAAAAUAAAACGAGUACUUUACAUGUCUGUUUAAACAAUGCUACUGAAGUGAUUGUUGCUGCUCAUCUUUAUGAGGGCAGAGGCUUUUCGGUUUCAGUUGCAGAUAUUACCUUAUGUUAAAAUUAAAACCUACACCCCACGGGCCAAAUCUAGGUACAGCCAUCUGUUUCCAUAUUGUCCACUACUAUUUUUCCACUAAGUGACAGAGGUGAGUGGCUGAGUCAGAGACUCUAUGGCCUGCAAAGCCAAAAUUACUUACUACUUGGCCUCUAGAGAAAAAGUUUGCCAACCCCUGCCUAGGAUAAAAAAGCUCCUGGGGCUGGCCCUUGGGGUUCAAGUUUCCCUUCCGUGGUGCCUCUCUCUGUCAUCUCAGCAGUGCUCCUUGCUCCAGCCGCAGUUACCUUUCCUGUGCCACAAGCUCUCAGAACACGGUCCUCCCUUCCCUUCAGUAAUGGUAAGUUUUCUAGAUAAUAAUACUACAGCACUCACUGAUAAUUGUUUUCACCCCUCUGAGGGGUAGCAAGAACUCUCGUUG